ensembl:rRNA 5S_rRNA 5S ribosomal RNA
ACUGGCAGCCAUAUCACCCUGCAGCCCAAGACUGGUUGCCCACUGAAGCUAAGCAGGGCUGAGCCUGGUCAGUACCUGUAUGGGAGACCUCCUGAUAAAACUAGGUUGCUGCUGGAA